rnacentral:rRNA from 1 species
CCUACGGGGUGCAGCAGUGGGGAAUAUUGGACAAUGGGCGAAAGCCUGAUCCAGCAAUGCCGCGUGUGUGAAGAAGGUCUUCGGAUUGUAAAGCACUUUCGACGGGGACGAUGAUGACGGUACCCGUAGAAGAAGCCCCGGCUAACUUCGUGCCAGCAGCCGCGGUAAUACGAAGGGGGCUAGCGUUGCUCGGAAUGACCGGGCGUAAAGGGCGCGUAGGCGGUUUAUGCAGUCAGAUGUGAAAUCCCCGGGCUUAGCCUGGGAACUGUAUUUGAGACGCAUAGACUAGAGGUCGAGAGAGGGUUGUGGAAUUCCCAGUGUAGAGGUGAAAUUCGUAGAUAUUGGGAAGAACACCGGUGGCGAAAGCGGCAACCUGGCUCGAUACUGACGCUGAGGCGCGAAAGCGUGGGGAGCAAACAGGAUUAGAUACCCCCGUAGUC